CCUACGGGAGGCAGCAGUAGGGAAUCUUCCACAAUGGGCGAAAGCCUGAUGGAGCAACGCCGCGUGGGUGAAGAAGGUCUUCGGAUCGUAAAACCCUGUUGUUAGAGAAGAAAGUGCGUGAGAGUAACUGUUCACGUUUCGACGGUAUCUAACCAGAAAGACACGGCUAACUACGUGCCAGCAGCCGCGGUAAUACGUAGGUGGCAAGCGUUAUCCGGAUUUAUUGGGCGUAAAGGGAACGCAGGCGGUCUUUUAAGUCUGAUGUGAAAGCCUUCGGCUUAACCGGAGUAGUGCAUUGGAAACUGGGAGGCUUGAGUGCAGAAGAGGAGAGUGGAACUCCAUGUGUAGCGGUGAAAUGCGUAGAUAUAUGGAAGAACACCAGUGGCGAAAGCGGCUCUCUGUUCUGUAACUGACGCUGAGGUUCGAAAGCGUGGGUAGCAAACAGGAUUAGAUACCCUGGUAGUC
rnacentral:rRNA from 1 species